UCGGGGUCUCAAAACAUAGCAGAUCUCUAAGGGCCUGCGGAGGACGGGUCAACCAUUGUUCAGUGAGUGCUUUUUUUCUGUGUGUCGUAACUACCCAGUCCGCCACACUAUUCCUAGACCUAUUACAAAACUGCAGUUUUAUGUUUGAAAACGAAGACAGCAACUCACGUGCUUCACUGAGGAGAGCACGAUGUUCCCACAGCAUACCUUCUGGAGACUUCAAGCUGUUGACCAGAUUUAGGCAGUCUGACUCCAGAAUUAGGUUUUCACCCGCACGAGGAGAGAGGAAUUUGAGGGUUUCCACCAUGGCUAGGCUCUAGGCUUGCUCGGCGGAAGAGGCGAGGACGUCCUUGGCAAAGCCGUCGAUCAAGAUCCCAGUUGAGUUGCGGCAUACACAAGCUAUUGAACCUUCAAAGGAACCAGAUUUCCCAGAGGACAACAGAGACUAACUCAAAUUCGGGGGAGUUGUUGCUGCUGGGUAUGUAUUUUAUCAGCCAUUCAUCAAUGCGGGAAGUUUGGUAUUUUGAGAUCUGGAUGUUGAGUGCAGGAACAUCCCAGACUUCCCUCGUCCACUUGCAUAGUAGGAAUAGAUGUUCUGUGGUUUCUGCAUGAACUCGGCAGAAUGGGCAAUUCAGAUCAGGUACCAGUUUCCUUCUGUACAAAUUUUCCUUCGUUGGUAGUGCGUUUUGGCAUACGCUCCAUACAAAGUUUCUGAUUUUGUGGGGAGUUUUCAUUCUCCAUAUCCUGUUCCAGAGUUUAGUAGGAGUUUGAUGAGAGGAGGAGGCAGGCUGUGCUUCUGUGUUUACAUUUUUGCGAAGGGUGUUGUAGCCGCUCUUAACAGUGUAGUCGCCUUCCUUCGUGCCAGUCCAGAUCAGUUUGUCUUCA